rnacentral:misc_RNA from 1 species
GAUGAAGAACGUAGCGAAAUGCGAUAAGUAAUGUGAAUUGCAGAAUUCAGUGAAUCAUCGAAUCUUUGAACGCACCUUGCGCUCCUUGGUAUUCCGAGGAGCAUGCCUGUUUGAGUGUCAUUAAAUUCUCAACCUUUAUCUUUUAUUGAUAAAUGGCUUGGACUUGGGGGUUUGCUGGCGAAAGUCAGCUCCUCUGAAACGUAUUAGCUGGUUGCCUUGUGUGAACUUGUCUAUUGGUGUGAUAAUUAUCUACGCCGUGGGCUGUUUGCCGUUUUAGCACUGCUUCUAACUGUCUGUUAACUCGGACAAUAUAUGACAAUUUGACCUCAAAUCAGGUAGGACUACCCGCUGAACUUAAGCAUAUCAAUAAGCGGAGGA